AAAACGGUUCUUUUAAGAACCUCCAAAUCCAUAAAAAGAAUACAAAU
rnacentral:ncRNA from 1 species